rnacentral:tRNA from 1 species
GGGCCGCUAGCUCAAUUGGCAGAGCAACUGACUCUUAAUCAGUAGGUUCGGGGUUCGAUUCCCCGGCGGCUCA